rnacentral:rRNA from 1 species
AGAGUUUGAUCAUGGCUCAGAUUGAACGCUGGCGGCAGGCUUAACACAUGCAAGUCGAGCGGAAACGAUGGUAGCUUGCUACCAGGCGUCGAGCGGCGGACGGGUGAGUAAUACUUAGGAAUCUACCUAGUAGUGGGGGAUAGCACGGGGAAACUCGUAUUAAUACCGCAUACGACCUACGGGAGAAAGGGGGCAGUUUACUGCUCUCGCUAUUAGAUGAGCCUAAGUCGGAUUAGCUAGAUGGUGGGGUAAAGGCCUACCAUGGCGACGAUCUGUAGCUGGUCUGAGAGGAUGAUCAGCCACACCGGGACUGAGACACGGCCCGGACUCCUACGGGAGGCAGCAGUGGGGAAUAUUGGACAAUGGGGGAAACCCUGAUCCAGCCAUGCCGCGUGUGUGAAGAAGGCCUUUUGGUUGUAAAGCACUUUAAGCAGUGAAGAAGACUCUUCGGUUAAUACCCGGAGACGAUGACAUUAGCUGCAGAAUAAGCACCGGCUAACUCUGUGCCAGCAGCCGCGGUAAUACAGAGGGUGCAAGCGUUAAUCGGAAUUACUGGGCGUAAAGCGAGCGUAGGUGGCUUGAUAAGUCAGAUGUGAAAUCCCCGGGCUUAACCUGGGAACUGCAUCUGAAACUGUUAGGCUAGAGUAGGUGAGAGGGAAGUAGAAUUUCAGGUGUAGCGGUGAAAUGCGUAGAGAUCUGAAGGAAUACCGAUGGCGAAGGCAGCUUCCUGGCAUCAUACUGACACUGAGGCUCGAAAGCGUGGGUAGCAAACAGGAUUAGAUACCCUGGUAGUCCACGCCGUAAACGAUGUCUACU